ensembl:snoRNA U8 U8 small nucleolar RNA
UCGUCAGGUGGGAUAAUCCUUACCUGUCCCUCCUUUUGGAGGGCAGAUAGAAUAUGAUGAUUGGAGUUUGCAUGAUACGUGAUUAGCGUUUCUGCGUGAUCAGGACUUGCAACACCCUGAUUACUCCUAUCUGAU